rnacentral:rRNA from 1 species
GUCGAACGGUAGAGGGGGCAACCCCUUGAGAGUGGCGAACGGGUGAGUAAUAUAUCGGAACGUGCCCAGUCGUGGGGGAUAACGUAGUGAAAAUUACGCUAAUACCGCAUACGAUCUAAGGAUGAAAGCGGGGGAUCGCAAGACCUCGCGCGAUUGGAGCGGCCGAUAUCAGAUUAGGUAGUUGGUAGGGUAAAGGCCUACCAAGCCAACGAUCUGUAGCUGGUCUGAGAGGACGACCAGCCACACUGGAACUGAGACACGGUCCAGACUCCUACGGGAGGCAGCAGUGGGGAAUUUUGGACAAUGGGCGAAAGCCUGAUCCAGCCAUUCCGCGUGCGGGAUGGAGGCCCUCGGGUUGUAAACUGCUUUUGUACAGAACGAAAAGGUCUCUAUUAAUACUAGGGGCUCAUGACGGUACUGUAAGAAUAAGCACCGGCUAACUACGUGCCAGCAGCCGCGGUAAUACGUAGGGUGCAAGCGUUAAUCGGAAUUACUGGGCGUAAAGCGUGCGCAGGCGGUUAUAUAAGUCAGAUGUGAAAUCCCCGGGCUCAACCUGGGAACUGCAUUUGAGACUGUAUAGCUAGAGUACGGUAGAGGGGGAUGGAAUUCCGCGUGUAGCAGUGAAAUGCGUAGAUAUGCGGAGGAACACCGAUGGCGAAGGCAAUCCCCUGGACCUGUACUGACGCUCAUGCACGAAAGCGUGGGAAGCAAACAGGAUUAGAUACCCUGGUAGUCCACGCCCUAAACGAU